UACAGAGGUGGCAAGCGUUGUUCGGAAUUACUGGGCGUAAAGGGCGCGUAGGCGGCCUUCUAAGUCAGACGUGAAAUCCCCCGGCUUAACCUGGGAACUGCGUCUGAUACUGGAGGCUUGAGUGCGGGAGAGGGAUGUGGAAUUCCAGGUGUAGCGGUGAAAUGCGUAGAUAUCUGGAGGAACACCGGUGGCGAAGGCGGCAUCCUGGACCGACACUGACGCUGAGGCGCGAAAGCUAGGGUAGCAAACGGGAUUAGAUGACCCUAGU
rnacentral:rRNA from 1 species